UACGUAGGGGGCUAGCGUUGUCCGGAAUCAUUGGGCGUAAAGAGCGUGUAGGCGGCCCGAUAAGUCCGCUGUGAAAGUCCAGGGCUCAACCCUGGAAUGCCGGUGGAUACUGUCGGGCUCGAAUCCGGAAGAGGUGAGUGGAAUUCCUGGUGUAGCGGUGAAAUGCGCAGAUAUCGGGAAGAACACCCGUGGCUAAGGCGGCUCUCUAGUACGGUACUGACGCUGAGACGCGAAAGCGUGGGGAGCGAACAGG
rnacentral:rRNA from 1 species